CGAUGACGACCGAGCUUGCUCGGUCUGAUUAGUGGCGAACGGGUGAGAACACGUGAGUAACCUGCCCCCCACUUCGGGAUAACUUGARAAAUCGWGGCUAAUACCGGAUAUGAACUUCCGCCGCAUGGUGGUUGUUGGAAAGUUUUUCGGUGGGGGAUGGACUCACGGCCUAUCAGUUUGUUGGUGAGGUAAUGGCUCACCAAGACGAUGACGGGUAGCCGGCCUGAGAGGGCGACCGGCCACACUGGGACUGAGACACGGCCCAGACUCCUACGGGAGGCAGCAGUGGGGAAUAUUGCACAAUGGGCGAAAGCCUGAUGCAGCGACGCCGCGUGAGGGAUGACGGCCUUCGGGUUGUAAACCUCUUUCAGUAGGGAAGAAGCGAGAGUGACGGUACCUGCAGAAGAAGCGCCGGCUAACUACRUGCCAGCAGCCGCGGUAAUACGUAGGGCGCAAGCGUUGUCCGGAAUUAUUGGGCGUAAAGAGCUUGUAGGUGGCUUUGU
rnacentral:rRNA from 1 species